GGGUCUGUGGUGAAAUUGGCAUCACAGCGGUCUCCAAAACCGCUAUUCCAGGUUCGAGUCCUGGCAGACCUG
rnacentral:tRNA from 1 species